rnacentral:rRNA from 1 species
UGCAGUCGAGCGGUAACAGAUCCAGCUUGCUGGAUGCUGACGAGCGGCGGACGGGUGAGUAAUGCAUAGGAAUCUGCCCGAUAGUGGGGGAUAACCUGGGGAAACCCAGGCUAAUACCGCAUACGUCCUACGGGAGAAAGGGGGCUCCGGCUCCCGCUAUGGGAUGAGCCUAUGUCGGAUUAGCUAGUUGGUGAGGUAACGGCUCACCAAGGCCACGAUCCGUAGCUGGUCUGAGAGGAUGAUCAGCCACAUCGGGACUGAGACACGGCCCGAACUCCUACGGGAGGCAGCAGUGGGGAAUAUUGGACAAUGGGGGAAACCCUGAUCCAGCCAUGCCGCGUGUGUGAAGAAGGCCCUCGGGUUGUAAAGCACUUUCAGCGAGGAAGAACGCCUAGCGGUUAAUACCCGCUAGGAAAGACAUCACUCGCAGAAGAAGCACCGGCUAACUCCGUGCCAGCAGCCGCGGUAAUACGGAGGGUGCAAGCGUUAAUCGGAAUUACUGGGCGUAAAGCGCGCGUAGGUGGCUUGAUAAGCCGGUUGUGAAAGCCCCGGGCUCAACCUGGGAACGGCAUCCGGAACUGUCAAGCUAGAGUGCAGGAGAGGAAGGUAGAAUUCCCGGUGUAGCGGUGAAAUGCGUAGAGAUCGGGAGGAAUACCAGUGGCGAAGGCGGCCUUCUGGACUGACACUGACACUGAGGUGCGAAAGCGUGGGUAGCAAACAGGAUUAGAUACCCUGGUAGUCCACGCCGUAAACGAUGUCGACCAGCCGUUGGGUGCCUAGCGCACUUUGUGGCGAAGUUAACGCGAUAAGUCGACCGCCUGGGGAGUACGGCCGCAAGGUUAAAACUCAAAUGAAUUGACGGGGGCCCGCACAAGCGGUGGAGCAUGUGGUUUAAUUCGAUGCAACGC